rnacentral:rRNA from 1 species
AGCGAACGCUGGCGGCAGGCUUAACACAUGCAAGUCGAACGGGCACUUCGGUGCUAGUGGCAGACGGGUGAGUAACACGUGGGAACGUACCUUUCGGUUCGGAAUAAUUCAGGGAAACUUGGACUAAUACCGGAUACGCCCUUUUGGUGAAAGAUUUAUCGCCGAUAGAUCGGCCCGCGUCUGAUUAGCUAGUUGGUGAGGUAAAGGCUCACCAAGGCGACGAUCAGUAGCUGGUCUGAGAGGAUGAUCAGCCACAUUGGGACUGAGACACGGCCCAAACUCCUACGGGAGGCAGCAGUGGGGAAUAUUGGACAAUGGGCGCAAGCCUGAUCCAGCCAUGCCGCGUGAGUGAUGAAGGCCUUAGGGUUGUAAAGCUCUUUUGUCCGGGAAGAUAAUGACUGUACCGGAAGAAUAAGCCCCGGCUAACUUCGUGCCAGCAGCCGCCGUAAGAC